GAUGGCACAAUGUAAGUUUCGUCAAUUUUUGAUAAAUUUAUAUCGAUAUCUUAGCAUAGCUAAAUUUAGAAUAUUAGUGUCGUCUGCUUUGGUUCGUUCACCUUGACACCUUCAUAAUAGAAUCUUGCACGGUAAAUACAAGAAGACAAAUAGAAUGAUUAUGAGAGCUUAACUAGAAGAGUUAAAUGAGUUAAAUCUGUUCCCCUAACAAAUUGUGUGAAAACUAUGUUAGUUCCUGACUAGCAUUUAUCAUAUUAGAGGCCUGGGUCAACCACAAGAUUUGCAGCAUCAAGUUUGAUUGCAUCAUUUCCCUUUUCUUUAAAUGUCAUCGUGUAUGCCCAUGUGAGUGUGGGUGUAUUCACGAGGACCUCCUUUUUCGAUCCAUUCCCGCUUGGUGGAUUCUGCGGAUGGAGCACCUGUGGAUGUCUAGCUGUAUUUUCAGGACUUACAGAUUUGAUGCCUUCAUAACCACAAGUUUGCUUAAUAAACAAGUUUCACUUGUGCUGGUAUACUGACCCGUUAUCACAAUUCAACAAUCUGAGCAUCAUUACUUGGACUUGGAUAAACAGCAUUCCAUUGGAUUGAAGAAACAAGUUCUUCCUCUUCCUUUGAAUGUCCUUGUGUACACCCAUGUGAGUGUGGGGGUAUUCACGAGGAUGCAGGACUUCCUUUUUCCUAUCCCGC